rnacentral:rRNA from 1 species
CCUACGGGUGGCUGCAGUGGGGAAUAUUGCACAAUGGGCGCAAGCCUGAUGCAGCCAUGCCGCGUGUGUGAAGAAGGCCUUCGGGUUGUAAAGCACUUUCAGCGGGGAGGAAGGCGUUAAGGUUAAUAACCUUGGCGAUUGACGUUACCCGCAGAAGAAGCACCGGCUAACUCCGUGCCGGCAGCCGCGGUAAUACGGAGGGUGCAAGCGUUAAUCGGAAUUACUGGGCGUAAAGCGCACGCAGGCGGUCUGUCAAGUCGGAUGUGAAAUCCCCGGGCUCAACCUGGGAACUGCAUUCGAAACUGGCAGGCUAGAGGCUUGUAGAGGGGGGUAGAAUUCCAGGUGUAGCGGUGAAAUGCGUAGAGAUCUGGAGGAAUACCGGUGGCGAAGGCGGCCCCCUGGACAAAGACUGACGCUCAGGUGCGAAAGCGUGGGGAGCAAACAGGAUUAGAUACCCCAGUAGUC